CUACGGGGCGCUGCAGUGAGGAAUAUUGCACAAUGGGGGGAACCCUGAUGCAGCAACGCCGCGUGGAGGAUGACGCAUUUCGGUGUGUAAACUCCUUUUAUAUGUCAAGAAAAUGACGGUAGCAUAUGAAUAAGCACCGGCUAACUCCGUGCCAGCAGCCGCGGUAAUACGGAGGGUGCAAGCGUUACUCGGAAUCACUGGGCGUAAAGGACGCGUAGGCGGGUUGGAAAGUCAGGUGUGAAAUCCUACAGCUUAACUGUAGAACUGCACUUGAAACUUCUAAUCUAGAGUAUGGGAGGGGGAGAUGGAAUUAGUGGGGUAGGGGUAAAAUCCGUAGAUAUCACUAGGAAUACCUAAAGCGAAGGCGAUCUCCUGGAACAUUACUGACGCUAAGGCGUGAAAGCGUGGGGAGCAAACAGGAUUAGAUACCCGCGAGUC
rnacentral:rRNA from 1 species